AUUGAACGCUGGCGGCAGGCCUAACACAUGCAAGUCGAACGAGUGGCGGACGGGUGAGUAAUGUCUGGGAAACUGCCGGAUGGAGGGGGAUAACUACUGGAAACGGUAGCUAAUACCACAUACCAUCAGUUGUGCCCAGAUGGGAUUAGCUAGUAGGUGGGGUAAUGGCUCACCUAGGCGACGAUUCCUAGCUGGUCUGAGAGGGUGACCGGCCACACGGGAACGGAUACACGGUCCAGCCGCCUACGGGAGGUGGAAGUGUGUAAUAUUCCAAAAUGGGCGCAAGCCUGAUGCAGCCUUGCCGCUUGUGUGAAGAAGGCCUUCGGUUUUUAAAGCACUUUCAUCGAGGAGGCGUUACUCGCAGAAGAAGCACCGGCUAACUCCGUGCCAGCAGCCGCGGUAAUUC
rnacentral:rRNA from 1 species